UGCCACCACCUCAUGGCUGAGCUUUUUCCAAGGAUUGAAAUUCUGCCACCAAGCUUUUAUCCUUGGCCCCUAGAUCAACAAUUAAGGAUAUUUUUUUUAAAUUUAAUUUAAUUAAGGACAUGCUUUUGCUAUGGUUUUUGGGGUUGUUGUUGUUGUUGUUGUUGUUGUUUUCUUUUUUUCGGAGCUGGGGACCGAACCCAGGGCCUCGCUCUUGCUAGGCAAGCGCUCUACCACUAAGCUAAAUCCCCAACCCCUGGUUUUUGUUUUAAAUUGUUUAUAUUCAUUGAUUUUAUUUUAUAUGAUGGGUGUGUGCAUCUAUGCCUGUGCACCACAUGCAUGCUAUGUGCUUGAGGACGUCAGAACAGGGUGGAUCCCUGCAGUCACAGAUAAUUGUGAACUAUCAUGUGGAUGCUGAAGAACACCAAGCUGUCUCUCCAGCUCUGCUUUUGCUUUUUAUGGUUUUGGUUUUGGUCCUGGGGAUUGAACCCGGGGCUUCCUGCAUCCUGUUCACAUGCUCCCACUGAGCCACAGCCCAGUCCCUUAGCUCUGCUGUGACCAGUCUGCUUCCUGUCUGCCAGGGUGAUUGAAAGGAACUAAAGUUUGGCUGGGAGGAUGCUGAGCUGGGUUCCUUCCCAGCACCCAUAUGGUGGCUCACAACCAUCUAUACUCAAGGGCCAGGGGCUUUAUGCUCUCUUCUGGCCUCCAGUGG
rnacentral:lncRNA from 1 species